GCUAUGGUGGCUCAGUGGGUUGAGCGUCGCCCCAUGGACCAAGAGGUCCUGGGUUCGAUUCCCAGUCAGGGCA
rfam:Myotis brandtii contig194246, whole genome shotgun sequence.